GGAGGAGAAGAAACUAACCAGGAUUUCCCUAGUAACGGCGAGCGAACCGGAAAGAGCCCAGCUUGAAAAUCGUGGUGCCUCGUACCUCGAGUUGUAGUCUGGAGAAGGUCCCUCUGCGGCGCGCCGGACCCAAGUUCCCUGGAAAGGGACGUCAUCGAGGGUGACAACCCCGUCCGCGCCCGGAACGCGUCGCUCCACGAGGACCUGUCUGCGAGUCGGGCUGUUUGGGAAUGCAGCCCUAAGCGGGAGGUAAAUUCCUUCCAAGGCUAAAUAUGGGCAAGAGACCGAUAGCGAACAAGUACCGCGAGGGAAAGAUGAAAAGGACUUUGAAAAGAGAGUUAAAAAGUGCUUGAAAUUGCUGGGAGGGAAGCGAAUGGAAGCUGCGGGUGCGCCCCGGUUGGAUGUGGAACGGCUUCGGCUGGUCCGCCGCUCAACGCGGGGCGCUGGUCAGCGUGGGCCACGGCGCCGGGACAAGAGCGGGGAUUCGCUUCCCGCCUAUGCCGGUGCGGUGGCCGAGGAACGAAGCGCGCGCCGCCUUCGGGUGGCGUGGGUCCGCCCCAACUGCGCGCUCGGGACGCUGGCGUAUUGAGCUCUUCAUCCGACCCGUCUUGAAACACGGACCAAGGAGUCUAACAUGUAUGCGAGCCGGUGGGCGGCAAACCCAUUGAGGCGCAAGUAAACUGACAGGUGGGACCCCGACCGCUUCGGGAGGGAGCACCAUCGACCGACCGUGAUCUUCUGUGAAAGGUUUGAGUGUGAGCAUACCUGUUGGGACCCGAAAGAUGGUGAACUAUGCCUGAGCAGGGCGAAGCCAGAGGAAACUCUGGUGGAGGCUCGUAGCGAUACUGACGUGCAAAUCGUUCGUCAGACUUGGGUAUAGGGGCGAAAGACUAAUCGAACCAUCUAGUAGCUGGUUCCCUCCGAAGUUUCCCUCAGGAUAGCUGGAGCUCGUGUACAAGUUUUAUCAGGUAAAGCGAAUGAUUAGAGGCAUCGGGGGUGUAACACCCUCGACCUAUUCUCAAACUUUAAAUAGGUAAGCCGCCGGGGUUGCUUGGUUGAACCCCGGCACAGAAUGAGAGCUCCAAGUGGGCCAU
rnacentral:rRNA from 1 species